AACGGCGGUGGCUGGUUGACUCGUCUCAGGUCACAGUGAUUAGUGCCAAUUAGCCUGAUCGUGCAGUGAUGCCAGCUGGAUCACGCUGCCGUGCCGCCAUGGCCGCGUCUUGGAGCUCGCCGCCGUGGGCUGCGCGCCCCUUCGAUGACAGCCUUCCUCGCCCACGUCCAGGUCCUCUCAAUCCUAAUUUGACGAAUGGGAGCGGAAGCUGCAAUGUCAAGAUCCGCAAGCAGGACAUGAACCACCUUGCCAUGAAUUUCCUCGUCACAUUAGGAUUCAUCGACGCCACCAACAGUUACUAUCAUUGGAAGUGCCAGACAGAUCUCGCCGUCAAGAGUAGCGCUGCAGGGUCAUUCACCUGGUUGGCCUCUUAUGUAACUGGUGUUGUUGUGUCCAUGUGGAAGGAGAGCCCGCUUCUCCGGGACGCCGGCGCUGACAUGCUCACCGUAGGCGACGUCAUGGCGGUGCUCGACUUCAGGGAGGAGGUCGGCAACCACCACUUCUUGGACCAACGUAAAAAUGUCAUAAAUACAGUCACAAACCCAUCAGAUCUAUGCUAUGGAUGCCGUGGUGAUUGCUGGAACGGAGGGUUCCUGGGAUGAUGAGAAGAUGAAUCUAAAUGGUCUGACGGUCUGAGUAGUCGUCGGCAUGACGAGGUGACUACAGAUCCGCCAUAACAUGUGAGUGGCAAUGCUCCAGGACAAGCAGGUCAAACUAUUGUCCAAAUAAUUUUUUGUACGAUUGGAAGUGCAAGCAUUUCUCCAAGAUGGUUUGGUCCUGGUGUUCAUGCAGCCCGCGAUGGCAUACCUUCACAGAAUGGAGUACGGCGUAGGUGUUCAAGGGUUGUAUCAGGCCGCAUGGGAAGAACCUGAAGUUGCAAGUGGAUACGGUCAAGAACAUAGUUAAAGGUGAUAUGGGAGAUAAGUUCCAUAGGCAAGCUGGAUUGAGGCUUGAUGAGCCGAACCCAAGGGACGUGCUUAGUUUCUACCACAAAAUUCUAUCAUUCACAUCAACGGAUGUUGCAAAGAAGUGGUUCAAGCAUACUUAUCCAAAUCUUAUAAUCCUGAGGGAGAAGACUUUGUGAAGGAGUUCAGGCUGAAUGGCCAGUUAACAAGAAUCGGGUGGAUCUGCGUGUGGUGGAUGAUCGUUUACAAGGAACGUUGAAUGUAUGGUUCCUGCAGAUGUUCAGGUGGCGCCACGUAUUCGACCUGCGAUUUGUGGUAAGUUCCGAAAUGUACAGUGAAAAUCGGUCUUUGAGAUACAGAUAAAUUGGUUUUGCACAUAAAAAAUAUGCACAGUGAAACAAAAGCAGCAGACAUAUGCAAUCUAUUUGCUGAGCUGCAUCACUAGCUCAAACAGAUGCAUACAGUAUUAUGUGCUGAUCUUCUUAGAUGGUUGAUAUAUCAAUUUUUAAACA